rnacentral:rRNA from 1 species
GAUGAACGCUAGCGGCGCGCCUAAUACAUGCAAGUCGAACGGAGUGUGUUCUCGUAACGCACUCAGUGGCGAACGGGUGAGUAACGCGUAGGUGACCUACCCCGAAGAGGGGGAUAACAGCUCGAAAGGGCUGCUAAUACCCCAUGUGGUUCUGUGGAUUAGAGGCCGCAGAACUAAAGGCGCAAGCCGCUUCGGGAUGGGCCUGCGUCCCAUCAGCUAGUUGGUAGGGUAACGGCCUACCAAGGCGAUGACGGGUAGGGGGCCUGAGAGGGUGGCCCCCCACACUGGCACUGAAACACGGGCCAGACACCUACGGGUGGCAGCAGUAGGGAAUAUUGGGCAAUGGGCGAAAGCCUGACCCAGCGACGCCGCGUGCGCGAUGAAGGCCUUCGGGUUGUAAAGCGCUUUUGGAGGGGAUGAGGAAGGACAGUACCCUCCGAAUAAGCCUCGGCUAACUACGUGCCAGCAGCCGCGGUAAAACGUAGGAGGCGAGCGUUAUCCGGAUUUACUGGGCGUAAAGCGCGUGUAGGCGGUCCGGCAAGUUGGAUGUGAAAUCUCCCGGCUCAACCGGGAGAAGUCGUUCAAUACUGCUGGACUAGAGAGCAGUAGAGGGGGGUGGAAUUCCGGGUGUAGCGGUGAAAUGCGUAGAUAUCCGGAGGAACACCAGUGGCGAAGGCGGCCCCCUGGACUGUCUCUGACGCUCAGACGCGAAAGCUAGGGGAGCAAACG